GAACCGUUGGCCAUGAAAAUAUUAGUAACAAUGCAAAUAGAUCCAUCAUGUAAGAUGCAACAAUUGUCUCGUGUAUCUGAGCCAUUCUAUUGAAAAUUUGUUGAAGAGGAAGACCAGGUUUUCUACACAAUUUCCUAAAUAAUGUCAUGUUAUUUUCGUAUGGGAAAGCUGAAAAGGAAUCAAGAGGACCUAAUCGUCGCACAUCAUUAGUAAGCAUGAGCUGCAAAAUUUAAAUACGCUUCUGAUGGUGAUGCGUAAGUUAAAAUUCUUACUGCUGCGUGUAACAUUAAAAAGUGUAUGUAUACUUCCUGUCGUACAAUACCGUACGUUACAACUGGGCCUGUAUAUAAUAAAAAUUGGCGAAAUUCUGUGGCUUUAUAUUUCAUACACACAUCAAGUGACCUAGGACGUCUUGCAAAAUCAGAUGGACAGUAAUCUUUAAGUAUUUCCAAUCGUUUGCUUAUACAAGCAUACAAGAUGCAUAUACUCAAAUGGAAUCUGCGAAACCAUUCCUAUUGGUAACAUCGAUAACGGACUAUUGCCAUUUUUAUGAUGAUCAUCAUUUAAACAUGCGACAUACUCUUCAUCCGUACGAAGAGUAUGAUUUACACCACGAAAAACAUAACGACCUUCAUGCCGUAUACCAGAAAUUUUACAUUUAGAGCAUGGUUUAUUAGAUGUAUGGCUUCGAUGAUUGAGAAUAAA